rnacentral:tRNA from 1 species
AAUUUUUUAGUAUUUUAACGUACAUCUAGCUUCCAACUAGAAAGCCUAAACCAAUUUAGAAAAAUUA